rnacentral:rRNA from 1 species
ACGCUCGACACCUACGGGAGGCAGCAGUGAGGAAUAUUGGUCAAUGGGCGCUAGCCUGAACCAGCCAAGUAGCGUGAAGGAUGAAGGCUCUAUGGGUCGUAAACUUCUUUUAUAUAAGAAUAAAGUGCAGUAUCGUAUACUGUUUUGUAUGUAUUAUAUGAAUAAGGAUCGGCUAACUCCGUGCCAACAGCCGCGGUAAUCUGAGCGGGCUGGCAAGGC